rnacentral:rRNA from 1 species
UCGCGAAAACUCCGCAAUGCACGAAAGUGUGACGGGGCUACCCCGAGUGCCGUCCGCUGAGGAUGGCUUUUCUCUGCUGUAAGGAGGCGGAGGAAUAAGGAGAGGGCAAGUCUGGUGUCAGCCGCCGCGGUAAUACCAGCUCUCCGAGUGGUAGGGAUGAUUAUUGGGCUUAAAGCGUCCGUAGCUGGCUUUUCAAGUCUCUUGUUAAAUCCAGCGAUUCAAUCGUUGGACUGCGGGAGAUACUGCUAGGCUAGGAGGCGGGAGAAGCCGACGGUAUUCCCGGAGUAGGGGUAAAAUCCUAUAAUCCCGGGAAGACCACCAGUGGCGUAGGCGGUCGGCUAGCACGCGCUCGACGGUGAGGGACGAAAGCUGGGGGA